rnacentral:rRNA from 1 species
GACGAACGCUGGCGGCGUGCCUAAUACAUGCAAGUAGAACGCUGAAGGAGGAGCUUGCUUCUCUGGAUGAGUUGCGAACGGGUGAGUAACGCGUAGGUAACCUGCCUGGUAGCGGGGGAUAACUAUUGGAAACGAUAGCUAAUACCGCAUAAUAGUAGAUGUUGCAUGACAUUUGCUUAAAAGGUGCAAUUGCAUCACUACCAGAUGGACCUGCGUUGUAUUAGCUAGUUGGUGAGGUAACGGCUCACCAAGGCGACGAUACAUAGCCGACCUGAGAGGGGGAUCGGCCACACUGGGACUGAGACACGGCCCAGACUCCUACGGGAGGCAGCAGUAGGGAAUCUUCGGCAAUGGACGGAAGUCUGACCGAGCAACGCCGCGUGAGUGAAGAAGGUUUUCGGAUCGUAAAGCUCUGUUGUAAGAGAAGAACGAGUGUGAGAGUGGAAAGUUCACACUGUGACGGUAUCUUACCAGAAAGAGACGGCUAACUACGUG